UGUUUAGUGUGUCUUUUGUGA
rnacentral:piRNA from 1 species